rnacentral:rRNA from 1 species
AUGGCUUCCGGUUCCUCCUCCGCGGCGAUGCAGCUGGCCGUCAUCGGCCCUGUGGUGACGCCUCCGACCGCGACGGCGUCUGUCCCAUCCAUCGCGCCCUCCCUUGGUGUCAGAUUGGAUCGCGGCAACUUCCCGCUAUGGCGAACCCUCACCGUGACGCAUCUCUCUGGUGCUUCUCUCCAUGGCUACCUCGAUGGUUCCGUCGCUGCCCCGCCCACAACCAUCACCCAGGGGGCGGGUGAUACAGCCACCACGGUGGCAAACCUUGCGUACGCGACAUGGUGGACGCAGGACCAGAAGGUCCUCGGGAUGCUCCUCUCCUCCAUGACGGAGGACAUUGCGUCUCAGCUGAUUAGCUGUAAGUCCGCUGCUGCCGCGUGGACCUCCAUCCACGCCAUGUUCAGCGCGCAGAAUCGUGCCGGAGUUCGGCACAUCCGGCGACAGAUUCAGUCGCUGAAGAAGAACGACAUGACUGCCAGCGAGUACAUGCACAAGGUGAAGGCCCUUGCCGAUGCCAUGGCCUCUGCUGGAUCUCCCCUUGCUGAUGACGAGAUCAUCGACUACAUGCUCACCGGUUUGGGCAAGACCUUCAACCCGAUCGCGGCGUCGCUCAGCGUUGUGGUCACCCCGGUCGCGCUGACUGACUUCUACUCCAUGGUUCUCAACUAUGAAGCGCUGCAGUUAUCGCAGCAGGCCGAUGAUGAGGAGUGGACCUCGUCGGCCAACGCUGUGGCUCGGUCCGGCGCUCCUCCCCCCGCCAACCGCCCUCGCGCGCCUGACUCUGGUCGCGCAGGCGACUCCCGCCCGGCCGGAGGCUACCCGCAGCAACAGGGGCAGGGCUACCAGCAAGGCGGCCAAGACAACCGUUGUAACAACGGCGGUGGAGGAGGCGGCAAUGGCCGCAACAGCAAUCGCCGCUGGCGCCCGCGGUGCCAGAUUUGUAAAAAUUGGGGUCACGAAGCCGAUACCUGCAAGAAGCGUUUUGAUUCAGACUACUCCAGCGGCGGCAAUGGCCGCUCGGCAUAUAAUGCUUCAACCUCCUCCAACAACUCCACGCACUGGGUUCUGGACUCCGGCACCACGGAUCACCUGACUAGUGACCUGGAGCGUCUUCAGUUCCGCGAGCGCUACGGCGGUCAUGAUCAGGUUUAG